rnacentral:tRNA from 1 species
GACUUUGUAGCUUAGUGGUAAAAGCAGGCACCUAGAGUUAGCCCUUUCCCGGGUUCGAGUCCCGGUGGAGUCA